rnacentral:rRNA from 1 species
CGGGUGAGUGACACGUAUCCAACCUGCCGUCUACUCUUGGCCAGCCUUCUGAAAGGAAGAUUAAUCCAGGAUGGCAUCAUGAGUUCACAUGUCCGCAUGAUUAAAGGUAUUUUCCGGUAGACGAUGGGGAUGCGUUCCAUUAGAUAGUAGGCGGGGUAACGGCCCACCUAGUCUUCGAUGGAUAGGGGUUCUGAGAGGAAGGUCCCCCACAUUGGAACUGAGACACGGUCCAA